CCGUCGUUCACUUAAAAGAGCCGGCUCUUUGAGCCGGCUCGUUCGCGACCGACACAUCACUAACAACUACCUCUCUGUCUGACUUCGCCAAGCAGAUUCCAAACCAAAGCAAGAUCAAACAGCACUUUUUCUAGUUCUUCUCUUCUCCCUACUCAGAGCUAUAUUCCCUACAUUUCUUCCUGUCUUCUCCCCAUUCUUACCAUCUUCAUCUCUGUCUCUUUACCACUUUCUCUUUUGUAUUUAUAAGCACACACACACACUAAUUGAUGUUCCUGAAAUGGCUGCUAAACAAGGCGAGGGACAGCUAGAAGACGCCAUUUUCCUUGCCGAUUUACUUUGUAAACAACUAAAGGAGGAAGAAGACAGGGCCAGAGCAGCAUCUAGCAGGAGCAGAAUCCGCUGGGUAGGCAAAGAUGCUCAGGGGUGUCCUCUAACAAGGAGGAGCAGAAGUGGGGCAACCUGCCGACGUACUAAAGUCAGAACUGUUGCCAUUGACAGUCCAGUGACUGUGGAACCAGCGGGAGCAACCUCUGCAGUACCCCCUCAGCUUGUUGGUAGGAUGACAUUUACUAUCAUUGAAAGUUAGGAAAUGUGUCAACAUAAUCAAACGAAUACGUGAUGCAAUAUGAUUACGCUGUUGUGAU